rnacentral:lncRNA from 1 species
GUUCCAAUGAGAAUGAAGGCUGAGGUGUGCGCCUUUUUUUUUUUUCCUUCUUAGUCGUGUGUACAUCAUUGGGAAUGGAGGGAAAUAAAUGACUGGAUGGUCGCUGCUUUUUAAGUUUCAAAUUGACACUCUAGGCAAGCGGUGCCUGAGCCCGUGCCUGUCUUCAGAUCUUCACAGCACAGUUCCUGGGAAGGUGGAGCCACCAGCCUCUCCCUGACAAGCAAAGUGGAUCAGCAAAGGCUGCAGUCACCAGCAUCUUUUCCAUCCUUAAUUAACUGCAUCCUCAAAAGAACACUAUCAGACUGGCUCUGCCGACUUCCAGUUCUGGAACAAGAUGGUUAAACUCAUUUUUCCCUGCUCUGCUCCUCUAAAUACAACUAAGUACCUUGGAAACUAUUCAGCACACAAUGAUAAAGAGCUCUGAAAGCUAGAAGAAAAGAAGGUGUACUUGCAAGAAACCUCAGGACUUGAGUAACAGCAACAUGGUAAGUUUUCUAAGUUUUCUUUUCAUCUCCCAUAUA